rnacentral:rRNA from 1 species
AGUCGACGGCAGCGCGGGGCACCUGGCGGCGAGUGGCGAACGGGUGCGUAAUAUAUCGGAACGUACCCUGGAGUGGGGGAUAACGUAGCGAAAGUUACGCUAAUACCGCAUACGAUCUAAGGAUGAAAGUGGGGGAUCGCAAGACCUCAUGCUCCUGGAGCGGCCGAUAUCUGAUUAGCUAGUUGGUGGGGUAAAGGCCUACCAAGGCAUCGAUCGGUAGCUGGUCUGAGAGGACGACCAGCCACACUGGAACUGAGACACGGUCCAGACUCCUACGGGAGGCAGCAGUGGGGAAUUUUGGACAAUGGGCGCAAGCCUGAUCCAGCAAUGCCGCGUGAGUGAAGAAGGCCUUCGGGUUGUAAAGCUCUUUUGUCAGGGAAGAAACGGUGAGGGCUAAUAUCCCUUGCUAAUGACGGUACCUGAAGAAUAAGCACCGGCUAACUACGUGCCAGCAGCCGCGGUAAUACGUAGGGUGCAAGCGUUAAUCGGAAUUACUGGGCGUAAAGCGUGCGCAGGCGGUUUUGUAAGUCUGUCGUGAAAUCCCCGGGCUCAACCUGGGAAUUGCGAUGGAGACUGCAAGGCUAGAAUCUGGCAGAUGGGGGUAGAAUUCC